rnacentral:rRNA from 1 species
CCUACUGGAGACAUCAUUGGGGCAUCUUGCACAAUGGGGGAAACCCUGAUGCAUCGCCGCCGCCUGCCGUCUUCCUUCUUUCUUUCUUUCCCUCUCUCUCCUCCUUUCAUCCAAUGACGUUACCUGACUAAGAAGCCCCGGCUAACUACGUGCCAGCAGCCGCGGUAAUACGUAGGGGGCAAGCGUUAUCCGGAUUUACUGGGUGUAAAGGGAGCGUAGACGGUCCUGCAAGCCAGAUGUGAAAGCCCGGGGCUCAACCCCGGGACUGCAUUUGGAACUGUAAGGCUAGAGUGUCGGAGAGGCAGGCGGAAUUCCUAGUGUAGCGGUGAAAUGCGUAGAUAUUAGGAGGAACACCAGUGGCGAAGGCGGCCUGCUGGACGAUGACUGACGUUGAGGCUCGAAAGCGUGGGGAGCAAACAGGAUUAGAUAACAGAGUAGUC